rnacentral:rRNA from 1 species
GAUGAACGCUAGCGGCAGGCUUAACACAUGCAAGUCGAGGGGCAGCACUGGUAGCAAUACUUGGUGGCGACCGGCGCAAGGGUGCGUAACGCGUGAGCAACAUGCCCGUAUCAGGGGGAUAAUCCAGGGAAACUUGGUCUAAUACCCCAUAGUAAUGUUUUCAGGCAUCUGGAGAUAUUUAAAGCUUCGGUGGAUACGGAUUGGCUCGCGUGACAUUAGUUAGAUGGUAAGGUAACGGCUUACCAUGACUAUGAUGUCUAGGGGUUCUGAGAGGAAGGUCCCCCA